UUACCUCCACCUCCGUCUUCCUCACCUACAGUACCGUAUAUCUAGCUUAAUGCCGAUUUAAAUUCCAGAUCUUUGCCAAAAAUCUGCCGGACAAAGCUAAAGGCUCCUUCCAUGUCCACCACCUCCAUCUCCACCUUCACCUCCAUUAUCUCCACCACCGCAACCACCACCUGAAUCGGCAACUAGAACAGAUUCAGAAAUUCUGGGCAGUUUCCGCAAGUUUUCACUAAUUCGUGCAACACAUAUCACUAAAUCGUAAAGAGAACAUCACUAAAUUGUACUAAGGAUAUCACUAACUUGUAUUGGUUUCUAGUUUUUAUUUUAAAAGUGGUUUCUAUUUGAUCAUGAGCCUAUAUAUAUAU
rnacentral:lncRNA from 1 species